CCUACGGGAGGCAGCAGUGAGGAAUAUUGGUCAAUGGGCGGAAGCCUGAACCAGCCAAGUAGCGUGCAGGAUGACGGCCCUACGGGCUGUAAACUGCUUUUAUACGGGAAUAACGCGCCUUACGUGUAGGGCUUUGCUUGUACGGUAUGAAUAAGGACCGGCUAAUUCCGUGACAGCAGCCGCGGUAAUACGGUAGGUCCGGGCGUUAUCCGGAUUUAUUGGGUUUAAAGGGAGCGUAGGCCGCAUGUCAAGCGUGCUGUGAAAUGUCCGGGCUCAACCCGGGCCUUGCAGCGCGAACUGGCGUGCUUGAGUCCGCGGAAGGCAGGCGGAAUUCGUCGUGUAGCGGUGGAAUGCUUAGAUAUGACGAAGAACCCCGAUUGCGAAGGCAGCUUGCUGCAGCGGAACUGACGCUGAUGCUCGAAAGCGCGGGUAUCGAACAGGAUUAGAUACCCCUGUAGUC
rnacentral:rRNA from 1 species